UAGGGAAUCUUCGGCAAUGGACGGAAGUCUGACCGAGCAACGCCGCGUGAGUGAAGAAGGUUUUCGGAUCGUAAAGCUCUGUUGUUAGAGAAGAACGUUGGUAGGAGUGGAAAAUCUACCAAGUGACGGUAACUAACCAGAAAGGGACGGCUAACUACGUGCCAGCAGCCGCGGUAAUACGUAGGUCCCGAGCGUUGUCCGGAUUUAUUGGGCGUAAAGCGAGCGCAGGCGGUUCUUUAAGUCUGAAGUUAAAGGCAGUGGCUUAACCAUUGUACGCUUUGGAAACUGGAGGAGUUGAGUGCAGAAGGGGGGAGUGGAAUUCCAUGUGUAGCGAUGAAAUGCGUAGAUAUAUGGAGGAACACCGGUGGCGAAAGCGGCUCUCUGGUCUGUAACUGACGCGGAGGCUCGAAAGCGUGGGGAGCAAACAGG
rnacentral:rRNA from 1 species